rnacentral:rRNA from 1 species
UAACACGUGGGCAACCUGCCCUCAGCUCUGGGAUAACUCCAAGAAAUUGGUGCUAAUACCGGAUGUGACCGCUGACCGCAUGGUCUGGUGGUGGAAAGAUUUAUCGGCUGAGGAUGGGCCCGCGGCCUAUCAGCUUGUUGGUGGGGUAGUGGCCUACCAAGGCGACGACGGGUAGCCGGCCUGAGAGGGUGACCGGCCACACUGGGACUGAGACACGGCCCAGACUCCUACGGGAGGCAGCAGUGGGGAAUAUUGCGCAAUGGGCGAAAGCCUGACGCAGCGACGCCGCGUGAGGGAUGACGGCCUUCGGGUUGUAAACCUCUUUCAGUAGGGACGAAGCGCAAGUGACGGUACCUACAGAAGAAGCACCGGCCAACUACGUGCCAGCAGCCGCGGUAAUACGUAGGGUGCAAGCGUUGUCCGGAAUUAUUGGGCGUAAAGAGCUCGUAGGCGGUCUGUCGCGUCGGCUGUGAAAACCCGAGGCUCAACCUCGGGCCUGCAGUCGAUACGGGCAGACUGGAGUACUGCAGGGGAGACUGGAAUUCCUGGUGUAGCGGUGAAAUGCGCAGAUAUCAGGAGGAACACCGGUGGCGAAGGCGGGUCUCUGGGCAGUUACUGACGCUGAGGAGCGAAAGCGUGGGGAGCGAACAGGAUUAGAUACCCUGGUAGUCCACGCCGUAAACGUUGGGCGCUAGGUGUGGGGGCCAUUCC